rnacentral:rRNA from 1 species
AAGUUUGUACAAUGGGGGCAACCCUGAUCCAGCCAUGCCGCGUGGGUGAAGAAGGGCUUCGGAUUGUAUAGCACUUUAAGUUGGGAGGAAGGGCUUUAGGUUAAUACACUGUAGUUUUGACGUGACCAACAGAAUAAGCACCGGCUAACUCUGUGCCAGCAGCCGAGCUAAUACAGAGGGUGCAAGCGGUAAUCGGAAUUACUGGGCGUAAAGCGCGCGUAGGUGGUUCAGUAAGAUGGGUGUGAAAUCCCCGUGCUUAACCUGGGAACUGCUUUCAUAACUGCUGAGCUAGACUACGGUAGAGGGUAGUGGAAUUUCCUGUGUAGCGGUGAAAUGCGUAGAUAUAGGAAGGAACACCAGUGGCGAAGGCGACUACCUGGACUGAUACUGACACUGAGGUGCGAAAGCGUGGGGAGCAAA